UCCACCCCCCCAGCCCCGCUUCGGCCCCGCUCCCCCCUGGGAGCCCCCGCUCACGGCGAGCUGCGGCCGCGAGGCUGCGGCGGCGAUCGACGGCUCCGCGCACUGCGGCCCCGCCCGCCGCCCGUGUCAGCUGGGCCGGCCCCGCCUCCCGCCGCCGCCGGGCCUGCGCGGGCCGGGCCGGGCCAGGCCGUGGGUGUGGGUGCCACAGGACCCCCUGGGCCGCGCUCAGGGACUGCGGGUGGCGGGGCUGGGUUUGGAGCAGAGGGUUCCUGCGCUGGAGCUGCCACCGGGAAUCCCCGGGUGGCGGGUGGGAAUGGCCACUUCCCACAUGGCCUCUGCACCCUCAGUGCGCUCCCUCACAACCUGACUGAAACCCUCCACAAGGAAUCAUGAGCUGGAACGGCUUCAGGUUAAAAUAACUGCAAGGGAGCGGUUGAGCAGAUAAGAGGUGACCUUAGGACUGUGGAGGUGUGGCGUCUGCUCACAGCUUUGUUUAGUGAUUUCUCUUAGGAAAUUAAAGUCAUCCUGUGUUCACACUGACAAGGAGUUCUGCUGCAUGAAUAUCCUCCCAGUGUUAGAAGAAAGGUCAUAUGAGGGGUUUUCUUUUUUGCAAGUAUGUAGCUGUUUUGAAGCUUAGGCAAAAUCCAGCCAGCCUUUGACACAUCCAGCAGGAAGUUUGGUAUCGGCACUUCCAGGGGAAGAACGUGACUGUGGACAGCACAGGCAACCAAAGACAUAAAUAGUCAUCAAAGAGAUAUAAUUAGCCAAUGUAUAUGCAGUGUUUGAAAGAUGAAAAUAAAUAACAAUUGAAGCGGAGUUACUGCUAAGAGCAGCAGCCCUUUUCCUCAGAGGCCCUGAAUGCAGACCCAGUUGAACUCCAGUGUGUCUGUCUCAGCUCACGCCGCAGCUCUAGGGACGUGUUUUUCUCUGAGAGGGCUUUGUUCUACUUCAGAAUUUCCUUGUUUCAUUCCUGCGAAGGGGAAAGGCACACCUGCCGUCCAGACAGCAGGGGAGGGGAGCUGCUCUCAUUUUCCCAUUCUCGUUCGCAAAAGAUACAUUUUGCCUCUUUCAACCUCCGGAGAGGGAGGGCUGUAAUCCAAGCCGAGCUCAGCCUGCUGGGUGUUGUAGUCCAUCUGGGAGAAAAUGGCCAAGACGUGGCCUCCUGCUUCGAAACUGCUGGAGAAAUGAUGUGCCAGGUAGUCACACAGCCCCCAUGCAACAUCCCCAAUUUCCUUCAGGUUCAUGGAGUGUGGGGCUGGAAACAGUGACCCACAGCAGAAGGCCCAGUCCAACCUGCAGAGAGAUGUAUGCAUAAGGCUCAGUGUGCAUGUGAAGUGUUAAGCUGUACCAAAAAAAAGCUCUUGAAGCCUUCUACCUGCUCAGGCACCAGGCUCUCUUUGUUAGCUUGAUUAUGUUUCUUUCUGCGGAGAGAAAACAGUGGAGAGAAU